GACCUGGGGACGGAGGUUAAAAUACAGGAUAGUGACAACCCAGACUAGACUUCCCUCCUCCAGACCCUUUCCCCAGAGACGUCUUGUUCAUCCCCAUCCCCACCUUGGUAAGUCUGGCAGGAGCCAUACUCUCUUUCCAGGGCCAGCUCUAACAGUAUCAGAAUCUCUGCCCCUGUCCCACCCCUCUCUCCUCAGCAGAGCUUAUGUUCCUGAAGGAAAAUGGCCACAACCAAAGGGUUCAUCAUGGCUUCCCUGGCUCCUGACAUGAAAUGAAGGUCAGCAGGGUGAAUGGGCCUCUAAGCACGCCUUUAUCCCACGGCCUCCACCCCUUCAAGAAGCUGCCUACACCAAGAUCCUGAGUGGCAUGAGAUAGGACCAAAGAGAGACUCCUUGGACCAGAGGCAAUAGGAUUCCAAGGCUCUUCCGUGGACCGAACUACUGCAGGACAAGACCACAUCCAGUAUUGCUCCAACCCAUCCUUUAGACAUGCAUGAUGCAAGCAUGAGAGGACUCUACACUUCAGGAUUUCUCUGGUUAAACCUUCGCGGGAGCCACACCAUUCACCUCUACUGUGGUUGCACAAACGCAAGCUUAUGGGAGGAUAAGCUGGCCUUUCACCCCAGAAACUACCAGGUCGCAGGCCUGGUGAGAGGGCUCAGCAGGGAAAGGUGCUGCUGCCAAGCCUGAAGGCUUGUGUGUAGUUCCUAGCACCGUACGGUAGAAGGAGGCCCUGACUCCUGCCAUCUGUCCUCUGACCUCCACAUGUAUUCAGUGGCACAUGUACACUCACCUCCCCACCCCACAUACACAAGAUCAAUUUUAAAACGAGAAACUUGAGUUGUAAUUUAAAAAAAAAAAAAGAAAUCGCGAGCUAUCAAAUUUUACAGAUGCUCAAAUCCCUGGGUAUUACUUAUGACCUGCAUGAAUCCUCCCCACCACUUCAAAGUCUCUGUAGGUCACUAUUAAUACCUACAAAGGG
rnacentral:sRNA from 1 species